ensembl:rRNA 5S_rRNA 5S ribosomal RNA
GCCAGCAGCCAUAUCACGCUGCAACUCACAACUGGCAACCCACUGAAGCUAAGCAGGUGUGAGCCUGGUCAGUACCUGCAUGGGAGACCUCCUGGGAAAAACUAAGGUUGCUGCUGGAA